UCCGUUAUGGUGUAGUGGCUAACAUUAUCGCCUCUCAUCCAUUCUGUCGCCAUCAACGAAGUCGCGAUAGCCCAGGGUUCGAUUCCCUGUAACGGAA